rnacentral:tRNA from 1 species
GCCAGCAUGAUAUAGUGGUUUGAGCGUUAGACUAUGACUCUGGAAACCAGGGUUCGAAUUCCUUCUUGGCC